AACGCGAAGAACCUUACCUGGCCUUGACAUGCUGGUAGUAGGAGCCUGAAAGGGUAACGACUCAUCGUAAGAUGAGAGCCAGCACAGGUGCUGCAUGGUUGUCGUCAGCUCGUGUCGUGAGAUGUUGGCUUAAGUGCCGCAACGAGCGCAACCCCUGUGUUUAGUUGCCCGCGCAAGCGGGAUCUCUAAACAGACUGCCUCGCUUUAAACGAGGAGGAAGGUGGGGAUGACGUCAAAUCAGUAUGGCCCUUACGGCCAGGGCUGCACACGUGCUACAAUGCAUGGUACAGAGGGACGCAAGACCGCGAGGUGGAGCAAAUCCCACAAAACCAUGCCCAGUUCAGAUUGAAGGCUGCAACUCGCCUUCAUGAAGCCGGAAUCGCUAGUAAUGGCGCAUCAGCUACGGCGCCGUGAAUACGUUCCCGGGCCUUGUA
rnacentral:rRNA from 1 species